rnacentral:piRNA from 1 species
UGGUAUGUUAAGUGCGCAAUGGUCUCCCUU